CAUUAGAUGAGCAUAAGCCCGACCACGUUACACAGAGUGAGCCUGCCAAAGAACAAGGCUGAAGAGUGGCAAAGAUGCCAAGAAAUAGGGUUCGAGUAGUUAGGGACUGAAUGUUUGUGUCCCUGCCACUCCUCCCCUCAGAUUCGUAUGGUAAAGCCCUAACCCCUAUGUGAUGGUAUUUGGAGAUGGGACCGGGGCGGGGGUUGGUAAUUAAGUUUAGAUGAGUUCAUGAGGGUAAGGUCUUUGUGAUGGGAUUAAUGCCUUGUAAGAAGAGACCAGAGCGCCUGCCCUCUAUCCCUGCUAUGUGAGGGUACAACAAGAAGACCAUCUGCAAGCCAGAAAGAGAGCUCUCACCAGAACGUGACCAUGCUGGAAUCCGGAUCUCAGACUCCUCAGCCUCCAGAACAGUGAGAAAUAAGGCUUAUUCCUCGAUCCAGGAACUUUGGUCUUUUUCCUCAAAACUAACUCCUUCCCUCAACCAAUACACAUGCUCCAGAUUCCACCUGUCUAGAAAAACCUGCUUCCCUUCGUGUCAACAAGUCAGUGUUGGUUGUUUGGGUGUAUGGAAGCACCUCAUCAAGAAGUUUAAAACUCCUGUUUUGGGGAUCCCUCGGUGGCUCAGCGGUUUAGUGCCUGCCUUCAGUCCAGGGCGUGAUCCUGGAGUCGCAGAAUCGAGUCCCACGUCGGGUUCCUUGCAGGGAGCCUGCUUCUCCCUCUGCCUGUAU